AACGCGAAGAACCUUACCNGGGCUCGAAAUGUAGUGGACCGGGGUGNAAACAUCCNUUCCCNCAAGGGCCGCUAUAUAGGUGCUGCAUGGCUGUCGUCAGCUCGUGUCGUGAGAUGUUGGGUUAAGUCCCGCAACGAGCGCAACCCUUAUUGUCAGUUGCCAUCAUUUAGUUGGGCACUCUGGCGAAACCGCCUCGGAUAACGGGGAGGAAGGUGGGGAUGACGUCAAGUCCUCAUGGCCUUUAUGUCCAGGGCUACACACGUGCUACAAUGGUCGGUACAAACCGUCGCAAACCUGCGAAGGGGAGCUAAUCGGAAAAAGCCGACCUCAGUUCGGAUUGGAGUCUGCAACUCGACUCCAUGAAGCUGGAAUCGCUAGUAAUCGCGGAUCAGAACGCCGCGGUGAAUACGUUCCCGGGUCUUGUACACACGC
rnacentral:rRNA from 1 species